UAGCUCAAUCGGUAGAGCAGUUGACUUUUAAUCAAUUGGUUCUGGGUUCAAGUCCCAGUC
rnacentral:tRNA from 1 species